GAGUUUGAUCCUGGCUCAGAUUGAACGCUGGCGGCAUGCCUUACACAUGCAAGUCGAACGGCAGCACGGGAGCUUGCUCCUGGUGGCGAGUGGCGAACGGGUGAGUAAUGCAUCGGAACGUAUCCUGGAGUGGGGGAUAACGUAGCGAAAGUUACGCUAAUACCGCAUAUUCUGUGAGCAGGAAAGCGGGGGGACCUUCGGGGCCUCGCGCUCUUGGAGCGGCCGAUGUCGGAUUAGCUAGUUGGUGAGGUAAAGGCUCACCAAGGCGACGAUCCGUAGCAGGUCUGAGAGGAUGAUCUGCCACACUGGAACUGAGACACGGUCCAGACUCCUACGGGAGGCAGCAGUGGGGAAUUUUGGACAAUGGGGGCAACCCUGAUCCAGCCAUGCCGCGUGAGUGAAGAAGGCCUCGGUU
rnacentral:rRNA from 1 species